GACAAGGGAACCAAGAGCGCCCACGUGGAAGAGGCCGCUCCAGGGGUCUGGAGGAGGGGGAACUCACUGAACACCUCUGGGUGGGGCAGCGAGGUCAGGACCCAGCUCCCAGGGCUAGUCCUGGGGCAGCGCCCGGAGUCGCAGCUGGCAUAGCCCGACGGGCAUCAGGGGCUAACCUCCUUCCCGAUGCCCACCUCCCGGAGGUUCCCGGGGGCGGGGGAGCACACUCUGCUAUAGGAGCCCCUCCCCCGGGCUGAUCAGAGAAGACAGUGGACCCCCAGCCUUCAGUUACUCAUCCAGACAAUGAUGACUGCCUUGGUGGCUCGAAGUGAAGGGCACAAGAUUCCAGAGGAGAAGGAGCACCUGUGCACCUCUAAUCACCUCAGGGACUUCCUCUCGACCCAAUAACGUUCAAGAAAACGUUUCCGAGAUGUUUGCGGCGCUUCGGACUCAGAUGGAUUUAUUAUGGUCAUCCAGACUGUGCUAAGAGGAACUCUUAUCUACUAACACAGCUAUUUUCCUUUUCCGAAAUCUUCAGGAUCAACAAGUUCUUCCUUUAAACCAAAGAGCUGCUACCAGGGAGUGCACCACUACCUCUUUGUAGCCCUGCCCUCAUUCUCUAGGAAGCACUAAGCUGGCACAGGGCUGCAGCCGCUUCUGCUUAGCCCGAGGUGUCCGGCACGUCCAUCCUUGACUUGCCUCUUCUCCGAUGCCCCUUUCUCCAGGGCUUCCCAGCCUCAGAGAAAACAGUCCAUUGGAGCUCCUCCAGGGAGUCCUGGGCAUCCCUGAGCCGCUAGGAGAGCCAGGAGGUGAGGGAAGGGGGCUGAGCAUUACUUUGACAUGGAGAAAGCUCAGUGAUUGUUUUUAAGUCGGUACUGUCAAUGCAGUUAAGGAAGACCUGAAUUCAAACCCAGCCUCAGACACUUACUGUGUGACCCUGGGCAAGUUGCUUAACUUUGUUUGCCUCCGUUUCCUCAUCUGUAAAAAUGAAGUGGAGACAGAAACGGCGGACUGCUCCAGGAUCGUUGCCAAAGAAGACCCAAAUGGGUCACAAAGUGCUGGACACGACUGAAUAGCAAUAACUGAAUGGGUUUGGAGUUGACAGGCUAGAGAGAAGGCUUCAACAAAGAAAAUUCCUUUGACUGCAGCCAGGAAAAGGGGGCUCACAAAAUGGGCAGAAUUAGCAUCCCAGGAAAGAGAAGGGAACCUUUGAAAGGAGUAGUGAGAAUUGAAUCCAAGAAUGAUUCCCUUUUUGUCCAGUGGACUUCCUUACAGCGAGGCUUUGGUUCGGGGUACCUGGCCCUCCAAAAGGUGUGAUCAGGGGCUGAAUAGAAUCGAUUCUCUUAGAAAAAUCACAAACCUAGGGCUGAAAGCGAUCUUAGAAACCAUUGUGUCCACUCCCCUCAUUUUAUAGAUGAGGAAAGCAAUUCACAGAGAAGUAAAUGACUUGCCCAGGGUCACAAAGCUAACAAAUCCAGUGCUCUAACUACUAUAUAAUGCUGCCUCAGGGCUAGGCUACUGGGUUUCACUCCUGGACCAAUAGUUAGCCACCCUCCAGUGGGAUCUAAAGUGAUGGUAUCAGCUACUCAUGGCAUCACAGGAGCUAGACAUGGUAGGAGCCUUAUGGGAUCCAAUACCUUCAUGUUUAUAAUGAGCAAACUCAGGUAGAGAGAGAUAAAGUGACUUGCCCAAAGUCACACUUGUUAUAAGUAGCAGAGAUGAGAUUUGAACCCCAGUCCUCUCACCCCAAAGCCCAGUGUUUUUCCCACUAUGCUACUCCUCUGUAGUUGGCAGCAUUGUGCUGUGGGAUGCUCCUCUUUUUCUCAUACAGACUGUCCAACCCGAAUCAUUUCUGGAAUAUAUUGUGUAAUGGCUCUAUCUGUUCCAGAAUAUGUGUGGAUUCAGAUACGUGUGUAGAGACAAAGCAAUAACUAAGGGAAGGUGAUCAGUGGUUUGCCCCAGGGUACCAAAAUUUAGAGGGCACUGGCAAACACAUUCUUUCAAAAACUAUUUUUAAAAAUCAGCUUAGCACCUGGUCAGAAAGAAUAAUUAAUUAGAAAAGGAAGCUACCCCAAAGAGCAUGCAUUCCCUUUUCCUUCCUCUUCUAGGUGACACCCCUCUGAUGAAUUCCAACUCUUCCCCCUGGGGCAGAGCAGGCUUAUGGUAUUACUAAUGUCCCAGGGUCUCUGCUUGGGGAGCUAAUCUCUGUGUACUUUCUGACUGCUUGCUAAUCUGGACAAAGAGGUCCACUCCCGAGACAACUGGCUACCUGGCUACGGGGAUGGUAGGAAACUAGCAUUGGGCAUCUGGGCACUUCAAAAAGCCUCUCUCAGGCUAAACAGUUUCCUGAGGGGUCUUCUCCAUAUGCAAGGCUAGUCUUCUCCCCACCCACAGCAGCAGCGGUAGGCAGGAGCAGAUCUUACAGAUGUGCAAUAGAGAUGGAGGUCUUCUUUGCACUUUUUCUCUGCCUCCCAACGCCAGGGGAAUUUUGACAAAAGUGCAUGAAGGCACACAGAGAUAGCGAGUGCUUUUAGCUCUUAUCGUUACUACCUUCCCAUGAAAAAGCCCUGAUUGGUUGUAGAUGCACUCCAAACCCUUGUUUGAUGCAACUUCUUGGCAACCCAGUGACUAUAAAUAAAGAUUCUCAGCCAACAUUUAUUGCCUAGCUGAUAAAGAGAGCAGCCUGGCUAACAGGCCCCCUCUCUCCAUUCAGGACUCUUCCAAAGGCUACCAUUUUCUCAAACUCUUUCCUACAUUCUCUGGCCAAUUCAUCUUCCCAUAUAAACUUGUAUCCAAGAAAUAAAAGCCAACUGCUCUCUGUUCAAUCAAUCAGUCACCAACCUGACCUACGUCCAAACAGCUUGUCUUGCAGUCAGAUGCUCCAUCCUUUGGGAUAAGUGAUCUCAGUGCCCUGGUCCGCAACGUCCUUGCUGAUGUCUCCUAACAGUAUAUGGUCUACCUGGGAGAACGUUCCACCCCAUGGCUGUUCUAGCUCCCCCAAGUCAGAAACCAACACAAAGACCCUCCGCGGACAGCGCAGAAAUAUCAAAGCAAAAGAGAGAUGAGGGCCUGAAGACAGUCAGACAGUGAAGAAGCCUCCUAGAGGUGGCAUAAAGAACCAAAUGUCUCACAC